rnacentral:lncRNA from 1 species
AAAAAUCAAAAGAAAACUAAUCUCGAAGAAAUGGCGAAUCGAUCCAGGGUUAUCACCAUGUCUCCUCUCGUUCUCAACCACGAAGACGAUCUCGAUCUCGAUCUCGACCUCUGGGAAGUUGUUAACCCCUCCGACGGCGAGUACUCCGACGAUUCCUUCUCCGUCGACAGUCUCUCCGACGAUGACGUCAUAUCUCUUGACGACGACGCUUCCUUUGUCAUCUCUCCGCCGCCUCAGACUCUCCCUGUGACUGACGUUGGCGAACUCCCCGCGGAUCUGGAUCUCGACGGUGCUGGCGAUGACGACGGUGAUGAUGAUGCUGUUUGCGAUCAAGUCGACGAUAAGCACCUUCGAUGGGCUCAGCGGCGGAUGGUGCUUCUCCGCGGAGGUUCCACCUAUUCAUUUGGUAUUACGUUGGGAGAUUACGCUAACCGC